AAGGAUAAACUAUCAUAUUCUAGCCAUACUUAGAAAUCUCAACACUAUACCAUAUAUCACUAGCCAAUAUACAAAAUAAAGGCGAAAGAAGGACCACUUUGGUAGGAGCAUACAAUGCUGAACUCACUGGCAGAUUCCCAUCUAUAAUUGCAACACAGGUGACUGACUCCACAUCAACUGCCGGCUCACAAGCACUGGGUACCUUGCCAAUACCAAUUCUACAAAUCAGGACCUCACCACAUGCUAAUAAACUCCAUGAAAUAGUUUCCCACAAAUGUAAUGACAACAGUGAAGAGGUACAGAACUCCAGUAUUGAGGAAGGCAGUAAGGAAGAUAAAGAUGAAGACAACAAUUCUCAGAAUCUCAACGAAGUUAUGAGGUUGGCUGGGUCAGCAACAACUCCUAAAUCUCAUACUAAUAGAACUCGAAACAAAUCAGAGGUCUUACAAAAUAAGAGAGUACUGCCCAAACGGGGAUCCAAAUAAUCUGACAUAGCACUAUGAAAAUGUUAUUUUGGAACAUAAGGUCUGUCAGGACAUUUCAUGCUUUCCACACGGUUCAGAUGCUUCAUAAGCACCACAAAUUCAGCUUUGUAGCCUUAAUGAAACCAUUCCAAGAAGGCUAUUCCACUGCAGAAGUAUAAAAGAAAACUGAGGAUGGAGUAUGCUAAUUGUAAUGUAAAUGGUAAGAUAUGGAUUAUUUCUCAAAAUAACAUUCAAGUUCAGGUUCUGGCUGAUUUUGAACAACAGCUCACUACUAAAUUGAAGUUUGUGGAUGAUAAUUGGGAAAUAGUCAUCACCUCUGUUUAUGCAAAAUGUGAUCCUAAUCAAAGAAUGGAUUUGUGGAGUGAUUUAUAUGCCAUUCACAAUAACUUGUCUCUACCUUGGCAUGUGGGAGGCGACUUUAAUGUUAUUCUUGAUGCUGAAGAGAAAAUUGGAGGGCUCCCACUAUAUCCACAAGAAUAUGAAGAUUUUGAAUUUUGUGCAAACUCAUGUGGAUUAAUCGAUAUAAAAUUUAAAGGUAGCCCGUUUACAUGGUGGAAUGGUAGGGCAGAUGCAAAAUGUAUUUUCAAGAGGCUUGAUAGACUGCUUAUUGACCACGAGUUCUUGGGUGCUGUUGGUAAGGCUGAGCUAGAACACCUAGCAAGGACUGGGUCAGAUCAUGCUCUACUUUUACUUUCCUGUAGUGGUCUAGAAGAGAAACCUAAUAGACCUUUCAGAUUUCUAAAGAUGUGGCUGGAUACAGAAGGUUUCAUGGAAGUGGUUCAAAAUGCUUGGCACUCUGUUGCUAAUGAGGAUGUGUUCAUCAACUUAAAGCUAAAAAUGUAGAUGACAAAAUUAGCUUUAACAAAAUGGAGCAGAGAGACACCGGGGGACAUAUUCCAACAGUUAGCAAUUAGGGAAGAAAUUGUGAAGAUUAAAGAAGCGUUAGUUGAGGAAGGCCCUACUGCUGCAAAUAGGGCUGUGCUGAGGCUUGCUCAAGCUGAGUUAGUUAAAUAUUUGAAACUGGAAGAGGAUUAUUAGCAGCAAAAGGCUGGUAUACAAUGGUUCUCGGAAGGGGAUCGUAACACCAGGUUUUUCCACAGCGUGGUAAGAGGUAGGCGUAAUAGAUUGAAUAUUACCAGAAUUUAAAAAGAAAAUGGUGACUGGGCAGAAGGGUCGCAACAGGUUGCUUCUGAAGCCGUUGGAUUUUUCAAGGAUCAAUUCUCUUCUCAGUUACAUUCAACUGAUUUUACUUUACUGGAAGCAAUCCCCCAUUCAGUAACAGUGGAAGAAAACAGACGUCUAAAUGCUACUUGCUUUGAAGAAGAAAUUAAAGCUACUGUUUUUGGGUUAAAUGGUGAUGGUGCUUGUGGUCCUGAUGGCUUCAAUGGAUUAUUUUUUCAAAGGACAUGGGAGGUAAUACGAAAAGAUGUGUGCGCAGUGGUGAAUGCAUUCUUUCAAGGUCAAACUCUUCCUAAAUCCAUCACUCAUACAAACUUGGUCCUUAUUCCUAAAAAACAAGUCAUUCACUCUUUUUUAGAUCUUAGACCUAUUAGUCUUAGUAAUUUUCUCAACAAGAUUAUUUCAAGAAUCUUACAUGAUAGGUUGGACAAAAUACUUCCAAAACUGAUUUCUCAGAACCAAUCUAGUUUUGUGGAAGGAAGGAAUAUCUCUGAAAAUGUUUUGUUGGCGCAAGAAAUUAUUUCUGAUAUUAGAAAAAGGGGUAAGCCGGCUAAUGUGAUUUUUAAACUUGAUAUGGCUAAGGCUUAUGACAGAGUUGAAUGGUUCUUUCUAGUUAAAGCCUUGGAAAAAAUGGGUUUGAUAGCGGGAUUGUUGAUAAAAUUUGGAAAUUGCUCUCUAAUCACUGGUAUUCUAUCUUAAUUAAUUGGCAAGCACAUGGUAUCUUUCACCCUACUAGAGGGGUGAAGCAGGGUGAUCCGUUAUCACCUGCCCUUUUUAUUCUGGCUGCGGAAGUGCUCUCUAAAAACUUAAAUGAAUUGUUUAACAACAAGGAUUUUAAGGGUUUUGGAGUGCCAAAAUGGAGUGAACAGAUUAAUAAUCUCUCGUAUGCAGACAAUACCAUCAUUUUCACGAAUGCAGACAAGUAAAGCAUGCAGCUGGUUAUGCAUACUCUCUCUAGUUAUGAGGUACAAUCUGGUCAAAAGAUAAACAAAGGCAAAAGCUUCUUCUAUGUCCAUAGUAAAAUUGCUGGAAGUAUUGUUCAAGACAUAGAAGGUGUGACUGGUUUCAACAAAGGUAAGUUCCCUUUACUUACCUUGGAUACCCGAUAGGUCAUGCAAGGAAAAAGAAAGCUCAUUUUUCUGAUUUGAUUUAAAAAGUUCAAAAUAAUUUGCAAGCUUGGAAAGGAAAGCUACUGUCCUUUGGAGGUAAAUAUGUACUUAUCAAGAAUGUUUUGCAAAGCAUCCCUAUUUACCUUCUCAAAGUUAUCUCUCCUCCUAAGUGUGUCCUGCAUGAUCUAUAUAGAACCUUUGCUAAAUUUUUGUGGAAUUUCAAAGAAAUAGGCAGGAGUAAGCACUGGGUCUCUUGGAUUGAUAUGUGUUUGACUAAAGAAGAAGGAGGACUAGGCUUUAGGUCCCUGUUUGAUGUAUCCAAGGCUCUUUUUACGAAGCUAUGGUGAUAUUUAGAACCAAAAAAUCAUUGUGGACUAAUUUCCUAUGGAAUAAGUACUGCAAAAGGCAUAGACCUCAAUUGGUUGAAUGGAGAGGGGGGUCACAAACCUGGAAACUUAUGUUGGAAGCGAGGGAUUUCAUUGAUCAAGACAUUUGGUGGGAACCUAGAUGUGGUCAUUCAAGUGUUUGGUUUGAUAAUUGGUCUAAACUGGAUUACUUGCUCCCCGUUAACUAUCCUAUCAAUUUUGAGGUGGAGGACCUCAAGCUUUUGUAGUUGGAUGGGGGCUGGAAUGAGGACCUGAUGGCUCAGUUAUUCCCUGAAGAGAUAUGUCAACACAUCCUCUCUGAAAUCCCCAUCAUGAUUGAUGAAGAUACAUGGGAUCACCCCUGGUGGAUGAAUACUCCCUCUGGAAAAUUUACUGUGGGUUCUGCUUGGGAGUUAGGAAGACAUAGAGCUGAGGUCAAGGAAGUGUAUAAGCUCAUGUGGGUCAAAGGAAUUCCUUUUAAAAUAAAUUUCUUCUUCUGGAGCUUAUGCAAACAAAGACUUCCACUCGGAGAAGUUAACAGGAACAUGGGUAUAUCAGAUGAUGUAAUAUGUGCCUACUGCAAUGAACAGCAAACAGAAACCUGGGAGCAUCUGUUUCUCUCUUGUCCUAAAACUGCUAGACUAUGGAACUCUUUCUCCUAUAUUGCAGGUGUAACAGGUGCGUUUCUUCAGCUCAAAUGCUCAAUAUACAGCUGUUGGAAUGCAAACUGUAACACUAAGCUGAAACCAUUAUAUCAAGGCAUGCCAAUUUUCAUUCUUUGGCAAAUUUGGAAGGCUAGGAAUACAAUAAAAUAUAGAGGUAAAUACUCUUAUUGGAGAAUGGAGAUGGAAGUUAAUUGCAACAUUUCUUUAUUUGCAAGAAACAAAUAUCCUUGUCUAACUCAUCUGCCAACAUCAUGGCCGUAAAUAUAUGCCUAGGAUACAAGCUAAAGUUAUCAAAUGGUCAGCACCAGGUCAAGGAGUAUAUAAGUGUAAUAUUGAUGGUUCAUCCAAAGGGGAAACUGGUAGUAGUUCAAUUGGAUUUUGUGUUAGAAAUUGGGAGGGUACUUUUAUAUCUGCUGAAACAAGGAAGAUCGAGGAUUGUCACAGCCUUUCAGCUGAAGUAAGAGCCAUAAGAAUAGCGCUCCAACACUGCCUCUCCAAUCAAUAUACUCCUUUGGUGAUCGAAACAGAUUCCACGACUGUCGAGCAAGUCCUACAAGGUACUCAGCAACUAACAAUUCUUUUUAGGAACUACCAACCCAUGCAAAGACAAUUCUGAACAUGGACAAAAAUCACGUGCCUAACAUCAGAAUCAAGAAACAACAGAACAAGGAAUUCAACCCCUCAUCAACAAUAUAACAAAACAACAAAAACAGAGUUGGAGCACAAGAGCAAAGACUACAUUACAACACAUUAAAGGUGUAUUAUAGGUGAUCAAAUAUCACUCUACACUCCAUCCUUUGUCAGAGAUACUUCACUUUCUGGUUGGCUGUGAAACUCCUAUAACUACGAUUUCAUCUAGUUAUGAUUCUACAUGAGGAGUUGAAGACGUCUUCAUGGCUUUGAUUGACUUGGCAUUUGUGAGAGUUUUUGAAUGCCCAUCGAGCAAUCAACCCAAAUUCCUCAAGUAUGGAUCAUGGUAGAAGAAUGGCAGACUUAGCUGCUACGCAAGUCAAGGCCUUUAUCUGCUGAAAACAGUUCAACAAGAUCAUGAGGAGGCGAACAAGGCAAAGUCGAAAUGUAGCUUUUUACUGCAUUUUCUUUCCUUUUGUCCUAUUUGUUACAUCUCCAUUUCUUUGUAUUUUGUUUUGUUUUUCCAUUUCCAGGAUCUCUUGAUCCAAUUUUGUUCUUGGAUUCACUUGUAUUCAGGAAUGAAUCUUUAAUUAAAAACAAAAAAACAGUAUACAAGGUAAGGACUGAAUA